AUUGAACGCUGGCGGCAGGCCUAACACAUGCAAGUCGAACGAGUGGCGGACGGGUGAGUAAUGUCUGGGAAACUGCCCGAUGGAGGGGGAUAACUACUGGAAACGGUAGCUAAUACCGCAUACCAUCGGAUGUGCCCAGUUGGGAUGAGCUUGUAGGUGAGGUAACGGCUCACCUAGGCGCCGAUCCCUAGCUGGGAUGAGAGGAUGAGCAGCCACACUGGAACUGAGCCACGGUCCAGACUCUUACGGGAGGCAGCAGUUGGGAAUAUUGCACAAUGGGCGCAAGCCUGAUGCAGCAAUGCCGCGUGUAUGAAGUAGGCCUUCGGGUUGUAAAUUACUUUCAGCGGGGAGGCGUUACCCGCAGAAGAAGCACCGGCUAACUCCGUGCCAGCAGCCGCGGUAUUUC
rnacentral:rRNA from 1 species